UAGCAGAGGGUGCAAACGUUGCUCGGAAUCAUUGGGCGUAAAGCGCACGUAGGCGGCCUAGCAAGUAGGGAGUGAAAGCCCUCGGCUUAACCGAGGAAGUGCUUUCUAAACUACUAGGCUUGAAUACUGGAGAGGGUCGCGGAAUUCCCGGUGUAGAGGUGAAAUUCGUAGAUAUCGGGAGGAACACCAGUGGCGAAGGCGGCGACCUGGACAGAUAUUGACGCUGAGGUGCGAAAGCGUGGGGAGCGAACAGG
rnacentral:rRNA from 1 species